CCGUGAAGAGGCAGCGCGGCCAGAGUCGGACGAUAGCUCAGGUCCGCAGCCACGGCGAGGAUUACGGGCGAGCUUCACUUACGACGGCGAUUCCGGCGUUCUCUCCGACGCCGUUUAUGUUUUGAUGGGAUUAAAUUAACAGUCAGCUAUUGUUGAUGCUCGAAAUUGGGUGAGAGAGAGAGAGAGAGAGAUAGAGUGUGGGUGUGUGUAUAUGAAGUUUUAGGAAAAUGACAAUUAAGUACAUGUUGAAAGUUUCUUGUAUUGUGUACCCUCGUACUCAAUUAGUGCAAUUGUAUAUUUCCCACCAUUGUUAUUAAGUUUUCAUUUUCUCUC